rnacentral:rRNA from 1 species
AUUGAACGCUGGCGGCAUGCUUUACACAUGCAAGUCGAACGGCAGCGCGGGCUUCGGCCUGGUGGCGAGUGGCGAACGGGUGAGUAAUGCAUCGGAACGUACCGUGUAAUGGGGGAUAACGUAGCGAAAGUUACGCUAAUACCGCAUACGCCCUGAGGGGGAAAGCGGGGGAUCGUAAGACCUCGCGUUAUACGAGCGGCCGAUGUCGGAUUAGCUAGUUGGUGGGGUAAAGGCCUACCAAGGCGACGAUCCGUAGCGGGUCUGAGAGGAUGAUCCGCCACACUGGGACUGAGACACGGCCCAGACUCCUACGGGAGGCAGCAGUGGGGAAUUUUGGACAAUGGGCGCAAGCCUGAUCCAGCCAUGCCGCGUGAGUGAAGAAGGCCUUC